UACUUAUCUGAUCAAUUUGGAAGAUUGAGUCUUCAAUAAAGUUGCUUAACGGUUUGGUUUAGCCCAUGCAUUAGAUCGGUCAUAUGAUGACUGAUUAGAUGAGACCUAAAUCUAAAUCUUUCUAUAAAUAUUAAGUCCAUAGGUCUUCUAUCAUUGUAGAUGUACAGACGUGCUACCGACGUUGAUUGUUCUCGACUGAUCACAGUGGUUCAGUUGCAUCGAGAACAAGC
rnacentral:lncRNA from 1 species